UUUCUUUUUUUUACCUAUGUUAAUCUAAAUAUUGAUAUCAUGAAUCCUUGUAAGCAGCAUAAUUGUCUGUCUUAGAUUGUUGUUUGGGCAGUAUCCUGUUUUGUGAUGCAAGUUGUAGUAACCAUAUCUGUUACUUAUUUUGCAAUCUGAUUUGGAAAAUGAUAUUUCUGUAGCUUCUAACAUCCUUAAAAAGAUUUCAGCUGUUCUCAAUC
rnacentral:misc_RNA from 1 species